rnacentral:tRNA from 1 species
GACCGAUGCCGAAGUGGUCGAGGCACCAGGUUGUGAACCUGGUACGAGAGGGUUCGAGUCCCUUCGGUCA